GACGUAGGGCGUGAGCGUUGUCCGGAUUUAUUGGGCGUAAAGAGCUCGUAGGCGGCUUGUCGCGUCGACUGUGAAAUCCCGCGGCUCAACCGCGGGUCUGCAGUCGAUACGGGCAGGCUAGAGUUCGGUAGGGGAGACUGGAAUUCCUGGUGUAGCGGUGAAAUGCGCAGAUAUCAGGAGGAACACCGAUGGCGAAGGCAGGUCUCUGGGCCGAUACUGACGCUGAGGAGCGAAAGCGUGGGGAGCGAACAGG
rnacentral:rRNA from 1 species